rnacentral:misc_RNA from 1 species
UAUCACAGAAUAAUCUAUAGUUUACAAUUCUUUUUUUUGAAUAUCCAAAAACCCUUGAAAUUUUUUUCCAGUAUUUCAUACUAAUAUUACUAGUAUAACUUGAUAAUUUAAAUACUGCGAAAGCAAUAUCAGGUCUAGUACAAUACAUAACAUAUAUUAAGCUAUCAAUAGCAUUAGUAUACUCAAUUUGAGUAAUUAUUCUACCAAAAUUUUCAGUCAAUUUGCAAUAAAUAUCAUAUCGAAUAUUUGCUUUCCUCAAUAUAAUGAAAUUAACAAAGAGUAAAACUCUCACUAUGUUACAGCUAGAUAGCUUACCAGAUCCCUCAAGGAUAAUAACCA